rnacentral:rRNA from 1 species
UACGGAGGGUGCAAGCGUUGUCCGGAUUUAUUGGGUUUAAAGGGUGCGUAGGCGGCCUUUUAAGUCAGUGGUGAAAGCCCGCGGCUCAACCGCGGAACUGCCAUUGAUACUGGAAGGCUUGAGUACAGACGAGGUGGGCGGAAUUGAAGAUGUAGCGGUGAAAUGCUUAGAUACCGCCAAGAACCCCGAUUGCGUAGGCAGCUCGCUUGGCCGAAACUGACGCUGAGGCACGAAAGCGUGGGGAGCGAACAGG